AUUGAACGCUGGCGGCAGGCCUAACACAUGCAAGUCGAGCGAGCGGCGGACGGGUGAGUAAUAUCUGGGAAACUGCCUGAUGGAGGGGGAUAACUACUGGAAACGGUAGCUAAUAACGCAUACCAUCGGAUGUGCCCCGAUGGGAUUAGCUAGUGGGGGGGGUAACGGCCCACCCAGGCGACGAGCCCUAGCUGGUCUGAGAGGAUGACCAGCCACACUGGAACGGAGACACGGUCCAGACUCCUACGGGAGGCAGCAGUGGGGAAUAUUGCACAAUGGGCGCAAGCCUGAUGCAGCCAUGCCGCGUGUAUGAAGAAGGCCUUCGGGUUGUAAAGUACUUUCAGCGGGGAGGCGUUACCCGCAGAAGAAGCACCGGCUAACUCCGUGCCAGCAGCCGCGGUAAUAC
rnacentral:rRNA from 1 species